AGUGACCCUCCGUGGGGAUCUGUGGCUCUGGGGCAAAGGUGUGGGGCUUGGGCCACCAGAGUCCCCUUCUCCCUUCUCCCCCUCACCGUGCUCAGCUCCAGAACGUCAUACCGAGCAGCGCCGAACCCCGGACACUGCGCCGCCAGGGUCAGGCAUGAACGCCGGGGAGCCUCACCUGCUCAAAGAGAAAAGGCAGUUCGUGACCGUCUGGGGACAGCCCCUCAGGGUGCAGAGGUCCGUGAAGACGCAGACACAGUCUCCACACGGAAUCGGAGGAGUCCUCCAGCCCAGCUUCCUCCGCUGCCAAGCUGCAGAAGAGGAGCGGACACGCUGCUUUGGACAAGCAGGGCCCCCAUUGCGCCGCGGCUGGGGGUGGGGGCGGGGCCAUAUGUUUGGGGCGGGGCCUGGGCGAAGCUGAUCGCGGAGGUGAUGCUAGAGUCGGACUGCAAACCUGCGGCGGGCAGGUCCAUCUGUAAACCAGCGAACGCCACAGCGCAGGGCCAGGGGCAAGCACUGGCUAACGUCCGCUUAGAGACUGACCGAAGCUGAGAAGUGAAUGGGCUAAUAGAGAGCAGGGCUGGGGCUGGACAUUUACUUCUCAAACCUGGUGAGCACGUCGGCCACGAGGGUCCCCCCAGCCAGGGCUCGCUCCUGGGCCCCUCGCUGCUCGUACAGCGCGAAUGCAUUGCGACUCCGAGCCAAGCCCAGCCGCCCCACCAGCUCUCGAGCCACCUAGAAGAGGAGGGUGAGGGGGAAGUAAGACCACUCAGGGAUAUUGCCAGGAUUAUGGGAGGGGCUGAUUCAAUUGGAAAGGGUCUCUUAGUCCUGUCACCACCACUCCAUCCCUUACCAAAAUAAUCUGACCCUCGGGGCAAACCUAGGGCCCAGGAAGCGGGAGAGGCAGGCGUGAGAAGCUGGCAAGGUAGGUUGGAGGUCAUGGGGCCUUUCUCUGGCCUCACCUCGCCCGCUGUGGUGUGGGAGUCGAUGGCCACAGCACAGGCACCAGCCCCCGGACAGUGCACGGUGCACAGCAGCUCCUGCCGUCGGCUCAGCGCGGAAAUCUCCGCCAACGAAGGCACCAGCUCGCGGCCACGAGUCCGGCCCAGCGCUUUCCGGAUGAAGCGCGCAUAUUCCGCCAGUUCCGAGUCCGGGAGUGCCUGCUCGGUCCUGGGUUAGGAGGAACCCAGGGAUCAAUGCUCCAAGGACUUUCCUUUUUCCCCUUCCUCUUGCCUUCUUCUAUGAUAGUUUAUCUGGCCGAUUUCCUCCCUGCCCCAACUCAGGUUCUUCGAAGGCUCUCCUAACACUGUCCCCAGUGCUUUGCAUAGAGCUGAA